ensembl:miRNA
CAGGCUGGGUGAAAGGAAGAAAAGACAUAGGAUAGAGUCACUUCUGUCCUCUGUCCUCCACCUAUAGAGGUGAUUAUCCUAUGUCUUUCCUUCCUGUCACCCCUGAGUCUCA